AAUUUCUUAAAUAUAUACACCAUCAAGAACUGAACUGACUGCUCCAUAAAGUAACCUUAUUCUCAUUGAGUAUGAAAUACCAUUAUUUAUGGAAGAUAUUGUCAUUUUCAGUUCUGCUCCUGAGAUCUGACUUGGUGGCUCAAGCACAUACUUACCUCUAGCCACCAAGAACAUAUAAAGCCACACAUAUGAGGAGAACCAUGGGGUGCUUACUACAUUCACUGUGACAGUCUAUGAUCUAUUGGUUUACACAUGCUUGAAUGGCCAUGAUGGUGACCCUUAGACAGGCAUACAACACCACAGCCUCACCAGUGGUUUUAUGUGAAAGGACUGGUCUGUGUCCCAUCCUUUCCUACAUGUCUAGAGAAAAUCAAGGAGAAAAUUACAGUGGCUCUGAAGACCAUUACACAAGACAUGCUGCAGCGAGUGUGACACGAACUCCAUUACUGACUUGAUGUUUGGCAUGUCACAAGAGAACACAUUGAACAUUGGUAAUAACUUCAGAACAUUGUAAAAUUACUAUCUCAAAGAAUUUUCUUGGAAAUUUAUUGAAGAAAACUUGUUACAUUCACAAUUUAAUUUCUCUACACCACAUUCAUUCCAAUAUGGAAAUCUAAAAUACAUAAUGUCAAAUUUUUAGGGACACCCUGUACUUAGAUUAUACAUGAAAAACAGAAUUAUAAUAAAAAAAAUUUGAAAGCAAAUGAUGUUGGUAAUCAGCAAAAUACAUAGUACAUAAGUAUAAAAAAGAAAGGAAUAUAAAACCUUGUACCAUAUGUAGGCUGUUUUCCCUUGAUUUGUGUUUACAAGCUUUUUUGAAUUGUGGUAUGGGUCUGUGGUUGAUCAUGAAAAGAAAAAAAAUCUGGAGUACAUUAACUAGUCUCAUAAUAAAAAUUACAGUCUAAUCUGAGCUCCAGUUUAUACUUAACUUGAUGAUUCAGCAGAUGCAAUGCUUUUCAACAAUUGAAACAAUGAAUGGAACAGUUUUCUUAACAUAGUAUAUGCAUAAGAUGUGUACUCAAUAAAUGUAAAAACCUGUAACAUACUGCUUUGUUCCUCUGCCCUGAAAGAGAUGCUGUAACCAAACCAUGAGAAGGAAGCCUGCACACCUGUCAUAUAGAAUAUCCAUUUCUUAUCGAUAAGGUUCAUUACUUAUUUGUACUUCAAGACCGAUAAUCAUGGCAGUAUUUUCUGAUAGUAAUUUGUAUUGUCAUUAGUGAGUUUUCAGUCCUUAUUUGAAAGUGUAAGGCCAAGAGAAACCAAAACAUGCUUGUGAAGCCUUAGCUUUAAAGUGAGACAUGACAAACCAUUCCAUACUUAACUUAUUAGUGAUGUGCUGAUUCCAAACAUAUUCAAAUAAUUACAAAUACAA